rnacentral:rRNA from 2 species
GAAAGUGGCGGCGUGCUAUAAUGCAGUCGAACGCACUCUCGUUUAGAUUGAAGGAGCUUGCUCCUGAUUGAUAAACAUUUGAGUGAGUGGCGGACGGGUGAGUAACACGUGGGUAACCUGCCCUAAAGUGGGGGAUAACAUUUGGAAACAGAUGCUAAUACCGCAUAAAACCUAACACCGCAUGGUGUAGGGUUGAAAGAUGGUUUCGGCUAUCACUUUAGGAUGGACCCGCGGUGCAUUAGUUAGUUGGUGAGGUAAAGGCUCACCAAGACCGUGAUGCAUAGCCGACCUGAGAGGGUAAUCGGCCACACUGGGACUGAGACACGGCCCAGACUCCUACGGGAGGCAGCAGUAGGGAAUCUUCCACAAUGGACGAAAGUCUGAUGGAGCAACGCCGCGUGAGUGAAGAAGGUUUUCGGAUCGUAAAACUCUGUUGUUGGAGAAGAAUGUAUCUGAUAGUAACUGAUCAGGUAGUGACGGUAUCCAACCAGAAAGCCACGGCUAACUACGUGCCAGCAGCCGCGGUAAUACGUAGGUGGCAAGCGUUGUCCGGAUUUAUUGGGCGUAAAGCGAGCGCAGGCGGUUUCUUAAGUCUGAUGUGAAAGCCUUCGGCUCAACCGAAGAAGUGCAUCGGAAACUGGGAAACUUGAGUGCAGAAGAGGACAGUGGAACUCCAUGUGUAGCGGUGAAAUGCGUAGAUAUAUGGAAGAACACCAGUGGCGAAGGCGGCUGUCUGGUCUGUAACUGACGCUGAGGCUCGAAAGCAUGGGUAGCAAACAGGAUUAGAUACCCUGGUAGUCCAUGCCGUAAACGAUGAGUGCUAGGUGUUGGAGGGUUUCCGCCCUUCAGUGCCGCAGCUAACGCAUUAAGCACUCCGCCUGGGGAGUACGACCGCAAGGUUGAAACUCAAGGAAUUGACGGGGGCCCGCACAAGCGGUGGAGCAUGUGGUUUAAUUUCGAAGCAACGCGAAGAACCUUACCAGGUCUUGACAUCCUUUGACCACUCUAGAGAUAAAGCUUCCCUUCGGGGACAAAGUGACAGGUGUGCAUGGUUGUCGUCAGCUCGUGUCGUGAGAUGUGGGUUAAGUCCCGGCAACGAGCGCAACCCUUAUUACUAGUUUGGCCAAGCAUUUACUUGAGGCACCUCCUACUGAGAACUGGCCGUUGA